AUGCAGCUGCGCUCCCUCCCGUUCGCCGCGAGCGCCGUGGCCGGAAGGAGCUUCCUUGCCGCUAUUCCUCGGCCGGUGACGGAGAGAAGGAAGCAGAUAUGUUGCAACGCGGGCAACUCCUCGUCGGAGAAGGAGGGCAGCGAGCUUAGCACGGCGGAAGAGGCGCUGCGGCGGCUGGCGGAGCUCGACGCCCAGCUGGAGGGGCUGAAGGAGCCCAAGAUGAGGCCGCCGCCGCCCCCUCCUCCCCCGGAUCCUUUCAUGGACCGCGAUAUGAUAAUACAGCGAGGACGCCCAAGUGAUGAGCUCCCAGAAAUGACCCCGGCCUACGUGACGUUCUCGACUCUGGCAAUUUUUAUCUUGACCAUCUUCACCAACGUGGUGUUCAACGUGUACAUCAAGCCUUCCGUGGACGGCGCCGAUCAGCCGGUACGAAUCCAGAGAGUGCCUCUGGCUGAUCCUAGCUUCCAGCAGCCCGGCAAUUCUAGUGAUAGCUCGUAG
rnacentral:rRNA from 1 species